UGAGUUAUGUCAUGUUAUCGAUAUGUGAAUACAUAGCAUAUCAGAAGGCACACCCGGAGAACUGAAACAUCUUAGUACCCGGAGGAAGAGAAAGAAAAUUCGAUUCCCUUAGUAGCGGCGAGCGAAACGGGAAGAGCCCAAACCAACAAGCUUGCUUGUUGGGGUUGUAGGACACUCUAUACGGAGUUACAAAGGACGACAUUAGACGAAUCAUCUGGAAAGAUGAAUCAAAGAAGGUAAUAAUCCUGUAGUCGAAAAUGUUGUCUCUCUUGAGUGGAUCCUGAGUACGACGGAGCACGUGAAAUUCCGUCGGAAUCUGGGAGGACCAUCUCCUAAGGCUAAAUACUCUCUAGUGACCGAUAGUGAACCAGUACCGUGAGGGAAAGGUGAAAAGCACCCCGGAAGGGGAGUGAAAUAGAACCUGAAACCGUGUGCUUACAAGUAGUCAGAGCCCGUUAAUGGGUGAUGGCGUGCCUUUUGUAGAAUGAACCGGCGAGUUACGAUUUGAUGCAAGGUUAAGCAGUAAAUGUGGAGCCGUAGCGAAAGCGAGUCUGAAUAGGGCGUUUAGUAUUUGGUCGUAGACCCGAAACCAGGUGAUCUACCCUUGGUCAGGUUGAAGUUCAGGUAACACUGAAUGGAGGACCGAACCGACUUACGUUGAAAAGUGAGCGGAUGAACUGAGGGUAGCGGAGAAAUUCCAAUCGAACCUGGAGAUAGCUGGUUCUCUCCGAAAUAGCUUUAGGGCUAGCCUCAAGUGAUGAUUAUUGGAGGUAGAGCACUGUUUGGACGAGGGGCCCCUCUCGGGUUACC
rnacentral:rRNA from 1 species